GGUGCCUAGAAGGAGAAAACAGUUUUCACGUACCUGUGGUCCGAGAAGGAGGAUACAACGUUAUCCUGUAUACUAUGGGGAGCAAGUGUAAGGUCUACGAACUGAUUGCGGUUCUUGAUGAGAAACGUGGGCCCGUUUCCCCGGUUUAAGAGCUGAGAGGCAGAGGUUAAUAAGUGAUUUGAAAUGGCAUAAUGUCGUCUGGAAACUCCCUCGGCGCUCUCUCGCUGAUCGGUUGUCCGCUCUCGCUCUCAAUUCGCUCUCUUUCGUUUUCACUUUGCGUUUGCUCUAGCGUUUGGAAUUCGCAGUGACGUGAAUUCUCACUUGCU
rnacentral:lncRNA from 1 species